rnacentral:tRNA from 1 species
ACCUGGCUGGCUCAGUCAGUAGAACAUGAGACUCUUAAUCUCAAGGUCGUGAGUUCAAGCCCCACGUUGGGCA